rnacentral:lncRNA from 1 species
UUCUUCUCAUUCUUCUCUUCACAUCUGACUUGGGAGCUCUCUCAAGCAUUGGAACUUUGUCUUCUUUGUUGAAAAGAUAGCAAGGACCCUUAGUGAGCAUUCUUUCAUUCCUUUUAUUGCUUUUUCCUUAUGUAGUGCAGAAAGUCAAACGUUUGGCCAACAGUUUGACUUUCGGUUUUGACCAUCAAUUGGUCAAGUCAAAGUUUAAUUGAACUUUGAAACGUGAUUGUAAUCACGAUAGUUAUAAUCCUUCGUGAUUAUAGCCGCUGAUUACCACGUUAGGUAGUUAUAGUGUCGAGUCAAAGUUUCGGUCAAAAUGCGUUUUAGCACGCAUUUUGCCUCGGAACUACUUUAGGGUAUCAAAACACUUUGUUUUGAUACCAAAUCAGUAGGUUAGACAUGUUUUGACAUGUCUAACUCGACACUAUUAGUUUAGUGCUUGUUUAGGGUCGUAAGUUAAGCGGUCUAAACAACCGCUUACACUUUCGAACCCGACCCAUCUGGUCGAUCUUUAGGAUCCGACCAAGCAUGUUUAGUGACCAUAGUUGCAUAGGGAAUAACCUUCCGAGGUUAUACCUUAUGGUCACCGAGUUUAAGUAGUUGUAUGAUAGGCGAAUUAUAUGCCUUAGGUAAAUUACCAAAAUGCCCUUUUUAUGCAUAAUUGGACUUUAAGCAUAUGUAACCUAACUUUUGUCACCUAAACUGAUUAUGCAACUUAUUUAAACAUGUUUAGGCAUAUAAUACUUGUCAUAGGACUAGUUAGACGUCUCGAACGCGCGUUUGCGUGCACGACGCGUUAAAAUAGCGUAAGCUACCUUAAUGGGUCGCGAUGGGUCGAAAGAACUUAGGUUAGGUUCCGAUUUAGAAUGUGGGCUUUGUUAAACCAUAUCACGUGAGUUCCUACACUCAUUUGGUUUACAAGACCUCAUUCUUUCCGAUCUUCCGAUUUAGGCGUCUGUUGUUUGACUAGCGAUCCGAUACUAGGUACCACUUGAUUCCUUGAUUGCCCGAGCAUUGAUAGUUCACAAAAUCAGGGAUACCCUACAAUCUCAAGUGAGUACAUAGUUCCCCUAUUUUAUUGUUUCAAUUGUUUUGGGGUGAUUCAUAUGUACAAAACGAAUUUCAAGGUUUAAACGAGGGUUUCAAAAAAAACGAUGGUUUAUACUAAACUAAUAACGAUUUCAAUAAAGUGAACAAGACUUGUUGGUUGUAUUUACAUAACGAAUGACAUUCAUUAGCUCUGAUCAAGCCGACCAGUAUUAGGUUAUGGUACCAUAGGAUCUGACAAAUCCCGUUAUCAGACUACACCCAUUGUUAUGUGUGGGGGUUAUGUAGAUAAUGACCGAAUCUGUUAUUGUUAACUUACCCUAUGGUGGUUUGUUAAUGCGAGAAACGAGUUAGACGAGUCACAAAGGUUUGAAUGUUGUUAGCAAGAUGACCAAAAGUAGUUUCACUAUUAAAACGAAUACGAUUUUGGGACGAGUUAAACAAUUUGAAACGAGAUACACGAUUUGAAACAAGAUAGACGAAUUAAACGAUUGGUUUUGGGUAGUGAUUAGAUAAUGGGACGGGUGUAGUAUGAUAGAAUCAUGGUAGAUACGCCACUAGUACAUCUUAUAUAUAAGUGCUUCUAUCAUAUUACAUUGUGUGUCAUUAUUUAGUUCACUGGGGAAACGAUUUUGAAACGAUGUUACACAACGAGGUUUUUAAAACGAUAUAAACCAUACGAGUUUUAUUAACGAAUUUUUACGAGAUGUUUACAAGUUGUUAUACUAAAACAAAUGUUUUUGAGUUACGAGUCAUGGCUACGAGAUUUUAUAAACUAUAACCAAUUUGAUUUGAGUUGGUUAAACUAUGUUGCAAUACACUUUUCUAAACGAGGUUUGUAUUUUGACUCUUGUAGUCUAACGAGGUACUGCAACAUAUAAACAAGCCAUGAAUCCGAUACUCCCACAAAACCUAUGUGGUAUUGCUUGAUGUUGCUUGCUAGGAAGCUUGUGUCACAUAGGACCUGGACGAGGCCUUAGUGAUUUAAAAACAGUUAUAAACAAUAUGUAGUUUGUUUAUUUUGAUUUAAAGACAAUGUACAUUACAUAAUAAUUCAAUAAAACAAAACAUUUGGUUACCAUGGUUGUGAAACAAUAAUUCUGUUGCAACACUCCCCGACGUUUCCGCCACGGUUUGUUGUUUUAACGUGGUUGGGGUGUGACAGUAUGGCCUUAAGCUUACGGUCCGCAAGGAGCAUAUCUGGGCGUAUCUGACCAGGGUCGGUUACGGACCGUAACCGUAUAAUCAUACGGUCCGCAAGAGGAGCAUACGGACCGCAAGAGCUUUGGCCUACGGUCCGUAAGGCUGUCGCUGGCAGCAGAAAAUGGACAGCUGCCUGUUCAGCCAGUUCCAUCGCCUUUCAUGAGUGGUUUACGAAAUCAAGGACUUGCUAGGCAGUAUUUAGCCACAUAGGGGCACCUGGGAUCAUCUCAAAACACAUGUAGACUUCCUUGGCAAGAUCUUGUGACAUUUAGUUCACUAUAUAAGGAGCUUUAGUUGUGACCAUUUUAGUUCAUUCACUUCAAAAGUUCACAACUUCAUCUCUGGAGCUCUUUGGACAUCAAGCCAACUUUCUAGUGAUCUCUAGCAGUAAUUAGGACUCUUGUAAGUGUCCUUAACCUCCUUUAAUCUAUUUUAGCUUAGUUAAUUAGCUAA